GACGUAGGGCGCGAGCGUUGUCCGGAUUUAUUGGGCGUAAAGAGCUCGUAGGCGGCUCAUUGCGUCAACCGUGAAAACCAGCAGCUCAACUGUUGGCUUGCGGUUGAUACGGGUGGGCUGGAGUUCGGUAGGGGAGACUGGAAUUCCUGGUGUAGCGGUGAAAUGCGCAGAUAUCAGGAGGAACACCGGUGGCGAAGGCGGGUCUCUGGGCCGAUACUGACGCUGAGGAGCGAAAGCGUGGGGGAGCGAACAGG
rnacentral:rRNA from 1 species